UUCCAGAGCUGCAGGCUCUUUCCUUUCUUUUUCCCCCAUUAAACCCCUCUGCUCUUCUUGCAAAGGCCUUCAGGUGAGGUUAUGGGAAAUGAUAUUGAUGAUUGGAAAUAUGCUCUUGUCCUUGCCACCUAGAAAUCAGCCUUGGGACUUCUGUCAGAACCUGCACUUGAUUUCCUGGUCUGGCUGGAACCGACAUCCUGAGAGCCAAAGACACCAGGAGAAAGGCAGCAUUAUUGUGAAAUCUAAACUGAGUAAAACCAAGACAGAUCAGCAAUCUUUUGACCUUACCCAGCAGUGAAAUCUAAAACUGAUCCACAUGGUUUAGAGAGAGAACUUGGAAAAGGUCUGAGGGGUUGUCAAACCACUCAAACAUGUAUAACUUUGCCUGUCAUCCUGAACAGCAAUGAUUCAAA